AUCUCAGGCAGUGCUUCAUGUCCAACCUUGUUGUGCCCGAGGAGGAGGUCUGAUGCUUUUCUGUUUCCUGGAAGCGGGAUGCCUCACCUUCACCCACUGGGAAGGUAAAACGGCAACUAUAGAAGCAUGAUGUACAGCACGGACUCAGCUUGGCCAUGGAACAAUCGUGAGGGAUGACUUUUGGAUGUCCCUGGAUUUUUUACAUACCACAUUAAAACCCUGUUUUCCUUUGGAGGAUGUUGGAUAGUUGAGCUCUAUCCAGCAGAAUCUUCUUGGCUUUCUGGGCCACCAGUGAGGUAGUGUGUCUUGUGACCAAAACAGCGCCUGUACAGCUGAGCCCUGCAUUGCUUCCAGGUCCUUUGACUUUGGCAUGACGAGUGAUUCUGAAGGUAGGGUUGAGAUGGCAAGUGCUAUCGAAUUAAUAGGGAAGAUGAUUGCUAAUAAACUGGGCGUGAUAAUACUUGGCAGGAUGGGAAGGGCUGAUGAAUGUUUGCUGAGCCACUUCAACCUCUGAGAGUGCCUGGAGUGCUGUUAGGUGUGCAAAGUGAUUCUAGGGAGGGACACAUGCCUUCAUCUCUCCCUCACAGCCCGCGAGCUGGUGUUGGGGGCUCUGGCAAGCUGAAACAAUUCCCAUUUAGGUUUGACCUUUUGCUGGAUAUUAAAGCCUGGCUGUGGCUCAGUGAGAUGAACGCUGCAGCAAAUGCAAUUCCUCAAGAUGAAAUAUCUCUCCACUGGGUAAUUCCAGCCUCAUUUUGAGGGUUGUUGUAUUAUUUUUUUUCUUUCCCGCUGAAUCAUUUAUUCCCAGUGUCAGGAAGGUGCAGAAUGACUUUCCCCACUGGCUUUCAGAGCUUCAUUGAUUCAACUCCCACUCCUGCAAAUGUGCUGGACCAGCAGCCCUUGGUCUCUCUGAUUUUCCCAGGAGGGGGAUGGGGAAGGCAAGAGUCUCAGGGCUGGGGGAGCCCUUCAGUGAACACAUUCACAGCCUAGGUGAGAUGCUCUCAUAUAUUAAGCUCCAUAGUCCAGAACCUGUGUUUUUAUUUGCAGAGUUUUGGCCUUAAGUGCCUGCUCAGCAGUCUGCAUGGCGAAGGGGAAAUAGGGCACAUUAAAAUUGCUGGUGAAAGCAGGUUUUGUGCUGGAAGGACCAGGAGUGGGCACACUCAUGAGACCUGGGCUGCCUUGAGCACCUUCAGAUACUGCCAAAGGUCACAGAAGGCAGCACAGAUUGUUGUCUGUCUGCAGUGUUCAGAAAGAAAAGGGAUAGGAUGCGUUACAGCGGUUUCCCAAGAGGAAGAAGAUAAUGGCAGAUCGGUGGUAGAGAGAGGAGCGGUGAGUAGUGUCGUCUACAGCAAGUUGUGUGCAGCACCUAUGGGAAUGCCUGAGAUUGUACAGAACACCACAGACCUCUGGCCCUUCAUGCUCUGUGGUUCACUGUUGCAACCUAACUCCUUUGCUCAUGCUGGUUAUGAAUCUGGUCCUUUCCCUUCAGCAAAAGAAAGCAAUCUACUCCCACAAAUGUGUAGUGAGCAAAUUCAAUCACUUGUGUGUCUACCAGACAGAAGUGAGUGAACCCAGGCCUCUGCCUGUCAUCAUCAAUCUAUCUGCAGCCCUAUAUGUGAGUUCGCACUUCACGCUCUCCGCUGCAGCUCCAUUCUCUGAUUGAGA
ensembl:lncRNA